rnacentral:rRNA from 1 species
GAUGAACGCUGGCGGCGUGCCUAAUACAUGCAAGUCGAGCGAACAGACGAGGAGCUUGCUCCUCUGACGUUAGCGGCGGACGGGUGAGUAACACGUGGAUAACCUACCUAUAAGACUGGGAUAACUUCGGGAAACCGGAGCUAAUACCGGAUAAUAUAUUGAACCGCAUGGUUCAAUAGUGAAAGACGGUUUUGCUGUCACUUAUAGAUGGAUCCGCGCCGCAUUAGCUAGUUGGUAAGGUAACGGCUUACCAAGGCAACGAUGCGUAGCCGACCUGGGAGGGGGAUCGGCCACACUGGAACUGAGACACGGUCCAGACUCCUACGGGAGGCAGCAGUAGGGAAUCUUCCGCAAUGGGCGAAAGCCUGACGGAGCAACGCCGCGUGAGUGAUGAAGGUCUUCGGAUCGUAAAACUCUGUUAUUAGGGAAGAACAAAUGUGUAAGUAACUAUGCACGUAUUGACGGUACCUAAUCAGAAAGCCACGGCUAACUACGUG